UUUAUUUGGAGCUCAUCAUUUUGGGAACUGGAUGUGGUUGUGAUAUAAGCUGACUCUACUCUUGUGGUGAUCCAUGGUCAAGGCUGCAGUGGAGCUGACUUAUAAAGAUGAAGCAAACAUGGACAAAGAUGUGCUAAGUAUAAGCACAAGCCAAUGCAUUGCUGUCUUCCGUGAAGGAAUUUUGUUUUUGCUCCUCCACUACUACCCCACAACAACCCUGAGGAUAUCUCCAACCUUGGAAAUGAAUAUCAUCUUUCCUUCCUCCUCCUCAUUCUUUUUUGAAGGGACAUUUUUGUUUCUUUGAUAUUCUUUUUAAUAUUUAUGUAGGGCUCAUUGUAAUUCAUGUGACCACCUCUGCACCUCCAGGGAGGCUAAAAUGAGAUUAGAAGAUUAAAAUUGUAUUAGCACAGAUCCUGGGAACAAGUUGGACUCCUUGGAGGCUGUUAAAGCUAACCCAGUAGUCCCCCAGCUGUCCCAACUGGGGAAACGUAUGUGAUCUGCCCUUGCCUGGUUUACAGACAGAAGCUGGAGCACUGAUUGAUGAUGAUAUUUGUAAUGAAACUAAUACAUUGAAAGAGCAAGUUAUUCAGGUACAAUGAGCUAAAGUUAAGGAAAGAAUUAUAUGUUAAAGUAGUAAAUUUAGAUAUCAGAAAAAAUAUUCAGAAAAAUCUAGGCUAAGUCUAGUAAGUAAUUGGUUUUACAAUUUUACCAGUUUAGAGUAGUUGCUUUUACAGCACAAAUUUCUUGAAUAUUAGUUUGACUCAAUGUCAUUUUUGCUGUGUACACUUUACUUGGGGAGUUUGGACAGUGUCAUUUGCAUAGUUAAUAUGUGAUUAUGCUAGGAAAUGAUGGCUUGGGAAAUCUCUUAAGUGUGUUUCAAAUUACCAACUGUCCUUAAAACAUAUGGUACUAUGUAAUUUCACUAUAUUAGAACUUGAAAGAUACAGAUGUGAUAGUUUAUAAAAUUUGCUUGGGAAUAAUGAACACAAAUAAUUAUAAAGUAAGGUUU
rnacentral:lncRNA from 12 species